UGGCUCAGUGGUAGAGUGCUUGCCUUGCAUGCAUGAGGUCCUGGGUUCGAUACCUCAG
rnacentral:tRNA from 1 species